AACCUGGUUGAUCCUGCCAGUAGUCAUAUGCUUGUCUCAAAGACUAAGCCAUGCAUGUGUAGUAUGAGCGGACGAAAGCGAGACUGCGAAUGGCUCAUUAAAACAGUGAUAGUUUAUUUGAUGGGAGUUAGAUGGAUAACUGUGGUAAUUCUAGAGCUAAUACAUGCGAGGCGUCUAUUAGAUGUGAGAGGUGUAGAUAGGUGACCGUGCCGGGAGGCGUGGCAGUUCAUUCAAGUUUCUGCCCUAUCAGCUGGAUGGUAGUGUAUGGGACUACCAUGGCGGUGACGGGUGACGGGGAAUUAGGGUUCGAUUCCGGAGAGGGAGCCUGAGAGACGGCUACCACAUCUAAGGAAGGCAGCAGGCGCGCAAAUUACCCAAUCCUCACGGAGGGAGGUAGUGACAAGAAAUAACAACACGGGGCUAUGCUCGGUGAUUGGAAUGAGCACACCGCACAAGCGUUAGCGAGGACCCACUGGAGGGCAAGUCUGGUGCCAGCAGCCGCGGUAAUUCCAGCUCCAGUAGCGUAUAUUAAUGUUGUUGCAGUUAAAAAGCUCGUAGUUGGAUCUCCGUCCGAAGUAGCCGCCUCGUAUUGAGUUACGUGGCGGUGAGCGGGCGCUUCACCUUGAGGAAACUAGAGUGUUCCAGGCAGGCCGCUGCUUGAAUCCGUAGCUGGGAAUGAUCUGGUUAAUAGGGACAGUUGGGGGCAUUGGUACUCAGCAGUCAGAGGUGAAAUUCUUGGAUUUGCUGAAGACUAACGAAUGCGAAAGCAUUUGCCAAGGAUGUUUUCAUUAAUCAAGAACGAAAGUUAAGGGAUCAAAGACGAUCAGAUACCGUCCUAGUCUUAACCAUAAACUAUGCCGACUAGGGAUCGGGGCGACAGGCAGAUCGCCUCGGCACCUUAGAGAAAUGAAAGUGUUUGGGUUCUGGGGGGAGUAUGGUCGCAAGACUGAAACUUAAAGGAAUUGACGGAAGGGCACCACAAGGAGUGGAGCCUGCGGCUUAAUUUGACUCAACACGGGGAAACUUACCAGGUCCAGACAUAGCGAGGAUUGACAGAUUGAGAGCUCUUUCUUGAUCCUAUGGGUGGUGGUGCAUGGCCGUUCCUAGUUGGUGGAGUGAUCUGUCUGGUUAAUUCCGAUAACGAACGAGACCUCAACCUGCUAACUAGCACUGCCUAACCUAGGCUGCGCUUCUUAGAGGGACUGCAGAUGCAAUCUGAGGACGUGAGGCAAUAACAGGUCUGUGAUGCCCUUAGAUGUCCUGGGCCGCACGCGCGCUACACUGACGCAUUCACUAAGUCCCAACUUCCAGGCAACCUGCCAACUGCGUCGUAGUGGGGAUUGACCCUUGCAAUUCUUGCUCAUCAACCAGGAAUUCCUAGUAAGCGUAAGUCAUCAGCUUGCACUGACUAAGUCCCUGCCCUUUGUACACACCGCCCGUCGCUCCUACCGAUAGAGUGAUCCGGUGAACUCCUCAAGAGUAAACCGAUUCACUUAGAGGAAGGAGAAGUCGUAACAAGGUAUCCGUAGGUGAACCUGCGGAUGGAUCA
rnacentral:rRNA from 1 species